rnacentral:sRNA from 1 species
GUUUUCGUUGCUAGGGGCUGUGGGUCACCUUCUCUUCCUCUCUUCUGCCACCCCAAGUCGUCUGUGUUGCGUGUCAUGCAGUGGGAGAGCACGUUGGUCCGGACCUCAAGCUACCCACGUUCUAGUCCCGCCUCUGUCAUUUCCUAGAGCUGUGGCCUCGGAUCCCUCCCUGGUGCCACAGCAGCUGAGUGCGCAUCAAAUCUGAAGAAAAUCUACACAGUACAGACAGUACAGUCCACAGUUUGGAAAGAGUUGCUGUUAGCAACCAUCGGGGAACAGUUCACAGACUGUGCCGCAGCAGAUGAUGAAGUAAUAGGAGUUAGCGUCAGUGUUCGGGACCGAGAAGACGUCAUCCAAGUCUGGAAUGUAAAUGCCUCUUUAGUGGGUGAAGCGACUGUUUUAGAAAAGAUCUAUGAACUUCUGCCCCACAUAACUUUUAAAGCAGUAUUUUAUAAACCCCAUGAAGAGCAUCAUGCUUUUGAAGGUGGACGUGGAAAACACUAAUUGCACUCUGUAAAGAAUUCUUUGUCCUUUGCUGAUUGGUUUUGGAAACGGUCUUAACAGGA